UGGUCAUUUAGAGUCAGUAUCAGUCGGAGCAAGUAAAAGUUGUAACAAGGUGUGGAUAGAUGAUCAUCGAGAAUGAUCACGAGAGAGUGUGAAAUCGAGAGCAGUUGCUGGGCGGAACGCACAUCGUGCACGGCUCCCGUGCUCAAUCCAUUUCAACCCCCUUGUGCACCUUAUCGAAGUCAGUAGUCUUUCUCUUUUUGUUUGCCGGUUGUGUGCGGGAACCUCUUUCUGUUCACUUGGCCGGCGAGGAGAAAUAGAGGGUCGAAAGCUUUGACUUUUCUGUUAAACACUUUGUAUGUCUUGUGGAACGUAUUAGCUCCUUUGUAGGGGCGAAAUAAAUACAACUUUCAACAACGGAUCUCUUGGCUCUCGCAUCGAUGAAGAACGCAGCGAAAUGCGAUAAGUAAUGUGAAUUGCAGAAUUCAGUGAAUCAUCGAAUCUUUGAACGCACCUUGCGCCCCUUGGUAUUCCGAGGGGCAUGCCUGUUUGAGUGUCAUGUUAAUCUCAAACCCCUUGUCUUUUUUGUUGACUUGGUCGGUUUGGACUUGGAGGUGUUGCUGGCGUGCGUCGGCUCCUCUUAAUUGCAUUAGCUGGACUUUGGUUCGCAUUUGACGGUGUAAUAGUAAAGUGUUCGCCGGGCGUGCUUGCCUAACGGGUCGGCUUCUAAUCGUCUUCGGACAACUCUGUUCAUUUGACCUUGACCUCUUAGCACGUAGAACUACCCGCUGAACUGACUCCUAUCUGUACUUAGAGGAAUCAAUAAGCGGAGGAA
rnacentral:rRNA from 1 species